UUGUGGAUUUUUGGGUACGUAGUGCUUGCUAGCAGAGGAGGGUCAGUACACGUCAGACAGGGAGCUGUGGUGUUUAAGGGCGCUGUGUGCAGCUUCCUUAUUUAACCUGGAUUUUCUCUCAACAAGACAGUGAAGCGUGCCAUGGGUGCCUGUGUGUGCUGGUGCAGGCGUAGUGCCUCCCGGGAGGUGCCUGGAUCUGCUCUUGAGAGCCAGGAAGGCUCAUAAUACUGCAUUGGAGUUGUGGGCUCGGCAGGACAUAGCGCCUGGCGAAGCUCUGUAUAAGAUACGAAACGAGCCAAUGUCACUUUGGACGUCCAUUUGUAAGAGUACGAAACUCAAGACCACCUUUUCAUUCCACCCCCCCCCCCCCGGUACUCCAUUGCUGAGCAGCGACCCCAUUCCAUGUGCCACAUGACACUGGCUGACGUAUUCCUGACACGGCUGUGACAGGAGCAAGAGUCUGACAGUGAAGGUGGAGGGGUGCUGUAGGGGCUUCAUGUAGGGGUACCUUGGCAAGAUGUACGAGCAGGAGCAGGGGACGUUCAGCAAAGCCAAGACAUUCGCCAAGCAGACUAUCUAUGAGUGUGAGAGAAGUAAUCAUUGGAAAGGUAGAUUGUUUUUGGCUUGUUUUCUUUGUUGAUUUAUUUAUUUGUCAUGGUAAAGGUAGGUAAGCUUUGGUUUUAUUGUGUCUAUUUAUUUAUUAAUUUUAUUCAUUUACUUUUAUUGAUUUAUUUAUUUUCUUUUGUGGGAAGUUUUGUCAUGUGUGUUCUAAAGG